rnacentral:lncRNA from 10 species
CUCCUGAGUAGCUGGGAUUAUGGGUGUGCGCCAUGAUGCCCAGCUAAUUUUUGUAUUUUUAGUAGAGACAGGAUUUCACCACAUUGGCCAGGCUGGUCUCGAACUCCUGACUCAAGUGAUCUUCCCACCUCAGCCUCCCAAAGUGCUAGGAUUACAGGUGUGAGCCACUGCGCCCAGCCUAAAUUCAGUUAAUACAAAUCAAGUAUCCUUGAAGAAGGCCAACUACACACAAAUUAUGUGUUAUGUAAGCAUUCCAGGGAGAAAAGAACCUAAGUCUUUAACCUAAUCUUCCAUUUAAAUGUUACCCCAUUUAAGAGGUGAACAUGUUAAUAAAGCAUCUAAAAUGGAAAGCAUCCACAUUUAUUAAAAUAUUUGGUAUUUAGAAGGUUAAAAAAUUUUACUUUAAAAUAAAGCCAGUACCAUUCUAAUAAUGAUACUUUAGGGUACUUUAAAUGUCAUAAAGUCAAGUCCAGUAAAUACUUUUUUUUUUUUUUUUGGAGACAGAGUUUCGCUGGUCCAAGCUGGAGUGCAAUAAAGAUUCCGUCUCAAAAAAAAAAAUCAAUCUCCCACCCAGCCCCAAAUCUUCUAAAAUGUUAAAUUUGUAAUGCGUAUGAAAGUAAAAUUUAAAACUUUCCAUUCACUAAAAGUCUUAGUUUGUAACCACCUGAAGUAUUAGCACAAUUAAUCUGUCUUUGUUCUGUCUAAAAUUAACACAAAGUUUAAUUUGGCAAAUAUUCAAAAUAAUGUUUCAUCAGCAUUGUAAAAUCAUUGAAAUUACUUAGAUUGUGUUUCUGCAGCAUAAGAGCCAACGAUUUUUAACUAGAUUCAACUAUUUUGAUAAUGCCAUUCCAUAGAUGGCAUUAAU